rnacentral:lncRNA from 1 species
GUGGCCAGGGAGCCGCAGGCAAGGGACUAAGGGGAGGGGGGCUCAGUGCCAGCUGCUUAAAAAUGCCCCUGUGGCAGCGAGGGGCACCAGAGGCUGGGUCUAAUUAGUUGAGAAGCAGUGACACCCCCAACCACUCCCCAAACAGGCUGGCUCCCGUCUCCAGGCCCCAAGGAGCCACACCUGGACCAGACCCCAGGAAAGACAUGUGGUGGAAACCCUACGGCCCUGGAGCCCAAGGAGAGCAACGGCUGUAACAAGUGCACAGGUUUGAGUGCGCUGAGACAGGGGAACCGUGGGCAAAGAGGUCCCUCCAGAAAGAGCUGGGUGUGAGCAUGGGUUCGUGAGCUUGCCUGGAGCCCUGGCCUCAGCCCUCUCUCACUGAGGUGCCAUCUGGCUCGCAGAUGUGGCCCAUUCCCAGCCCCUCGUGUUUCUUGGAAAUGAGAAAGUCCAGGAAAGGGCACAGGGGCUUUCGCAACGACCGUGGCGAUGAUAGCUUUGACGUGUGGUCAUCCAGCCGGCCACUGCCCACACCCAAGAGAAAGCUGGAUUGAGCAUCAGGAGCCUGGGUUCAAGUCUGCCUCUCAAGCUGUUCCACAGGUGACCCUGGGCAAAUCGCACAGGCUCCUGGAACUUCAGAAAGGGGAAGAAUUAUUCCUGCCUCUGGCGACAUCAGCGAAUGUGCCUUGAGUUACGGGAGUGUUUUGAAGGCUGAAAGCUUUGUGUACACGGAAGGGGUCAAAGACAGCCACAAGCCUGUCCCUUUGGUCUUGGUCAUCAUGUUAACCCCAGGUUUCGAUUUAAUCCUACAUGCUCCUUUCUUAUGUGUGAGGCUGAGGUGGGGGCAUUGGUCAGAGGAGCCUCUGGGAAAUUUCCUUUCAGGACAGUUCUUUUGUUAAGGGGCCUGGGUGUGCUGAGAAGGGAAGGUGGCUCCUCCUGCUCUUGGAGCUUGGAGUUUCUCACAAGCUCUCCCUUAAAAGCCAGGCAGGCCAAGAAGGGAUAAUGGCUGCUCAGGGCCCAAGGGGCAGGAUCUCUGAGGCCCGGAAGAUCUCAGUAGGUUUAGCCCAAGAGUAUCCAGAAGUGGCCCAGGCCCAUUCUCCAUCCCUCAGAGCCUGGCAGCCUGGUCAGGACCCUCAAAGGCCAUGACCGUACCCGUAGGGCACCCUGGUGUCCUUCUGACAGGUGGGAUCUUUGUUUCUUACAGGCAAGGGCGCUAGCUGGUGGGAGCCACCCCGCCAUGCUGAUGUCAGAGAAGCAAGAACUCUGGAGAAGCAGCCUCCUGGGACCAGAGGAGGGCCAGCAGCAGGCAGCCCGGAGACAGAACUGUGAGCCCACCCCACCUCCACCCUUCCGGCACCCACAUCCGCUCCCCACCCCAGCCCACCUGCAGGUGGCUCCUGGAGUAUCCUGGGUCCCUCAGGAUAAACUCCCCACCCUAACCUCAGAAUGACCAAGAAACUGGGCCUGAGGAUGACAAGAAGCAGAAUGGGCCUUGGUAAAGGAAGACCCCCCACUGAUUGGUGGCAGUGCGGGCAGUUCAGGGCUGUCAGCGUCUGGGUUGUAGGUAAAAAGAAAUGGAACCCAAGAAGGGAAAUCCAACUAGGAGCCAAGAAUCCGGUCUACCCCAUCCUCCUUACGAAAUAGCAAUGCAAAGCCCGUGUGAUUUGGACAUAAAGCCUCUGUUACUCAACUUGAUUCGGUGAAUAACAGACUUGAAAGAAAUGUGGAAAAUAAUAGUAAUCUUCCCUAGAAAGGAGUAAACAGGGUUGAGCUCCCAAAGCAGGAAGACCUGGGGCUGUGUGAUCUUGGACGAGUCACUCAACCUCUCUGAGCCUAGUGAUAAAGAGCCAGCUCAUAGGGCUUUGAGAGGAUUUGUGAGGUUGGGCUGGUGUCCCCAGGCACAGCCCUUGGCACAUAGUGAAACUCAAGAAAACAGAGCAGUUUUUACCAUUCAUCACAUUAUUCCCACACUUGCCAAUUUUUUAAGUUCAUGCACAUGGUGGAACAGGUAGGGUGAGGUGCCAGCUCCAUAAGAUGAGUGGAGAAACUGAGGCCUGGAGAGGUGAAAGCAUUCACUCAGAGUUGCAUGUAGAGUCAGUUGCAAAGGAGAAUUCUGGCACCAGUUCUCAUGUGGAUGGAAAAAGUGCAGGAAGAUUUGGAGGUGAGCAGAGGAGAAGGGAGGAGGAGGCCGGGUUCCAGGAAAGGAGCUGACAUCCAGGGAUGUGGGACAAGGCCCAGGCCUGUCUUACAUAACAUGGUCCACCUGUUCACCCCUGCAGGCCCCACAAAUGUGUGCAAACGUGCACCCCGGCACAGCGCACACCCAGUCCUCCCUCACUGGCAAAUAAGCCACAGAGACUGGGUUUAAACAAAUUGGAUUAGGAGGGCUACAGGCGCCUCCUCCCCCCGACUGUCCGGCUCCGACACUAAACAGACCUGCAGAACUGCCAGCUGUGGUCUCUCGGACACACUGACAGUCGGUCCUUGGCUCCCUCACCCCACCCGUGGGCCUCAGGAAGGGGGUUGGGGUCUGAGAGGAUGCCACAGUGAUGGAUGGGGUGAGGGAGGUUCCAGGGCUAGCUCAACAGCGCACAGGAUGUUAGUGCUUUUGCGAGGCACAUUUCCGAGCUGUUCCCAGACCCGCCCCCACUUCCCCCCUCACCCUCCCCUCCGGCAGCCUCUCCCAUGGCCACUGCUGCGGGCUGUGAGCAGAGCCCCGUCCUUGAGCAGAUUGACCUCAUCUUUCAGUCCUGCAGCUGGGCUGAGCGGGGAGUCAGCUCAGAAGACACUGGCCUGGGGAUGAGACUCGGGGCAUGCUUCAGAGGGAAGAAAGAGCUUCUGAACAGACAAUGCUGUCUUAAAGGUGGCAUCUUGGUGCUUUCUCAUGCCUUGUUUUCUUUCAUCCUCAGAAUGUGUCUGGGGGUGAGAGGACGGGUGUGACUGCUGAAACUUCCUUUCUUGGUGAUUCCACAUCACUCCUUUCUGAUCCCUGAGCCUGUGCCACGCCCUGUGUGAUGUGCCGGGGACACCAGGGUGAAUACUUACAGGCCCUGUUCCCCUUCCUUCAUGAAACAGCCUCCUUCGGGCUGGGUCACUGGGCACUGGGGCCUCCCUGGUCUUCCAGGAUUGCAACUUCACAGAAUCCCUUUUCCAUAAGGCACAUGAAAGUGACUGUGACCCGCAACGGGAGCCUUGACAACCAGCCAAUUCAGAACACAGACCUUGACAUCGGAAGGCCCCGAGUUCAAAUCCUGCCUUGCUCCCUUUCAGCUGGAAAGCUGUGGUCAAAUUACUUAGCCUCUCCAAGCCAGUUUUCCCUUCUGCAAAAUGAGGUUACACAAGCUGCCACCUCACAGAAUGAGUGUGAGAAUUAAUUCUUAUUUUCCACACCCUCAUUUGACAGGGGGAGAAACAGAAGCCCAGAGAGGGAAAGGGCUUGGUUAGGAUCACACCAUGAGUUGGGGGUUAAGUCAGGAUGGGGUAGGUCCCCUCUUUCUCUGGGUGUUCCUCUCCCCCAUCCCUUAUCUCAACAUAAAUCCUCCCCAGUUGCCCAGGUUGUCCAGGCGAUUCCUGGCACACGUCCUGGGGCCUGCCCUCCACCUUUAGCCCUGCUCUGGCUUCUGCAGCAGCAGAGUCCUGGGUGACCAGCAGUGGCCCCUGGCCCUCUGAGUGGUGGUGGAGGGUGGGGGUGCACUGCAGCAAGCUCCCAGCCCAGAGCAGCCUGGCCAUAUAAGGGAAGGAGCUCAGGGAGGCCUCCUGGCUCAGGCCUGGCGAGAAAACCCAGACAGCCACUGUUUAUUUUCUCCUCCCCAGCUCACCCACGCCUCUCCAAGCCUCCCAACAGAAGACAGAGGUCCCCCACAGCCAGAGACAUUUCCUGAAGACAUGGGGAACACAGAGGCAGAAACAGCCCAUCCACCCAGGAGCUGUCCCCCACACUGCCGGGAGCCGGCACCCAGAGCCGCCAGGUAAAACUGAGGCCACCUGGUUCAACAUCACCUUUCACAGAAGGGGAAGCAGCCACAGAAAGAAGGGCCUCGUUAAGAAGUGGAACCUGGGACCCCCAAGCGGUGUCUCUCAUCCUGACUGGGGAUCCAGAGUAGGAGGGAGCCUUUGGUGGGGUAAGUGGAAUGGGGCGGGGUGGGGGGUGGCCAUAGACCCCUCUUCUCAGUAAGGCCCUCAUGUGAAGGAGGCAGGGGUUGGGACAAGUGCUAAGUAUGCAAGACUCAAGGGAAGAGCUGCUGGAGCCAGGAGAAGCACCUCCCUCCCGGCCCCUCUGCCCCUCCUCAUAGCCCAGCUGCACUGACUCCUCCUCCAGGAAGCCUUCUCAGCUUCCCCAGGGGUGGGAACCUUUUUGUCCUCCAGGUGUGCUUGGCUGUCCUUUCUUGGGCUCUCUCUCUCUCUCUCUCCUCAUCCCACUUGAGUCUGCCCCCUAUUCACCUUGUGAGGGGAAUUUUCCUUCUACUCAAUCUGACCGAGGUCCUCCAGGUCAAGGACAGCGAGGCUCUCAGUCCCACUUCCCCUUGGCACAUAGAAGAGGCAGUGCGCUGAAGGGACAGGUGAAAUGAUUAGACCCUGCCCCCAAACCAAGGCCUGGCCAAUUGGACAGGGCAUGAGACAUUCAGCGUAGAGGUUAAAACGAGGGCCCUGGGUUAGGAACCCCAGCUCAGUUCUCAGCUCUGUACCCUUGGAAAAUUCCCUUCCCAUGGAGCUUUGUGGAUGCACAAGGACUUGCACAAAGAAAACAUUCAAUAUCCAGGACUAUAAAAUUCCACAAAUGAUUGUGCUUAUUACAUUCAUUAUCACGAUGAUUAUUCCAGACACAAAGGAACAGAACGAGGCACCAACAGCAAGGGGCAAGCAGAUUCAAGGGCCACAGAGGAGAUGGAGGCAAACACCUUCCCCUGGUCAGAGGCUGUGCCUCAGCCCUUCUCCCUGCAUCAGUUUCUCCUUCAGAAGCAUGGGACUACCUCCCAUCUAGUUCUCGUUUCUAAACCUAGGGGAGAUGCUAUCUUUGCUGCAAUAAUCUUAGCCUACAUCUUGGAAUGGAAAUGGCCUUGGUGGAAAUGGUCUUCAACUCCUCUGGUCCAAGCUCAGGCCCUGUGACCCUGGAACAAUCCCCUUCCUGGUCCUCCAUGUAGGAGCAAUAACAUUCCCUUGCCAGCAGCACCAGCCAUUCUGAUGAUUAAAUGGUAUCGGACUCUGUUUUCCAAACUCAGUCAUUCAGAUGCCCCCUAUUUUAUUUCUUCCAUGUCUGCAAAUGAUUAUAAUAUUUUUAAAUGUAGGAUGAGUCCUUUUUAUUACACAUAGAAAUAGCUACUGUAAAUAGCAAACUCUAACACUGUGCCUAAUUAGGAAAUAAAGGUAACCAUAAAUACAGUAAAAAUGAAACAAUGUUAUUAUGGUUUAACCUGAUAGUGUGGCUUGCAAGGCCCUGGGCCUGAAGCCUGGGCAAUAAGUGAGAGUUAGAAAGGUGUCAAAGACAUGAUAGCAGCAAACUGAGGCUUUGUACCCCACGGUAAAUAGGACUGAAAGCAAAUUCACAGGGAGCAACUGAUCCAUUCCACAACAGAAUGCUCCCUGUCAAUUCGCUUUCCAUUCUGUUGUGUCCUGUCUCCCAGCAGAGACUACAAACUCCCCAAAACCACUUACCCACCAGCUGCACGUGAGAAGCCAAAGGUAGUUUAUGUGAAAGGGCUUUGGAAAUAAUCACGCACCAAGUGAAGGCAGAGGACACACCUUGUCAGCUUAGUUCUCAGCAGCAAAUCAUCUCUUUUCCAGGAUAACCCUCCCUGAUUCUUAUUGAAAUCUCUUUGCUGACCACACUAAGCUCUUCUCUCUCAGGGGCAGUGGGAGCCGUGGAGAGUGGAAUAGACCAGCUGUCUGUGACCUGCGAGGGAGUCCAAUGUCGGAAUCACUCCCCAGCCAAAUGCACGGUUUUAAAAAAUCUAUUUAUUUAUUUAUGUAGAGACCAGGCUAUGAGACUGGCUAAUUUUUCGUAUUUUUGGAUAGAGACAGGAUUUCAUCGUGUUGCCCAGGCUGGUCUUGAACUCCUGGGCUCAAGCGAUCCACCUGCCUCGGCUUCCCAAAGUGCUCAGGAUUACAGGCGUGAGCCACUGUGCCCAGCCACCAAAUGCAGUUGAAAAGAGUUUCUGCAAGAUAAUUCCACAGAAGAGGAAAGCAGUUAUCUGGCUGGGAAUACCUUAGACAGAGGCUGUCCUCUACACAGGCUGUCAGAACUGACCUACUGACCUGCCUGCUGGCAUGAUAGACCAGAGGGAAACACUCUUUCCACUCUUCCCAGACUGAGUGUAAGAGACAGACUUUUUUUUUUUUUUUUGAGACGGAGUCUCACUCUGUCACCCAGGCUGGAGUGCAAUGGCAAGAUCUCGGCUCACUGCAACCUCCACCUCCCCGGGUUCAAACCAUUCUCCUGCCUCAGCCUCCCAGGUAGCUGGGAUUACAGGCUCCCGCCACCACGCCUGGCUAAUUUUUGUAUUUUUAGUAGAGACAGGGUUUCACCAUGUUGGCCGGGCUGGUCUCGAACUCCCAACCUCAGGUGAUCCGCCUACCUUGGCCUCCCAAAGGGUUGGGAUUACAGGUGUAAGCCACUGCUCCCAGCCUUUUUUUUUUUUUUUAUUAGAGACAAGGGCUCCCCAUGUUGCCCAGGCUGAUCUUGAACUCUAGGCUCAAGCGAUCCUCCUGCCUGAGCCUCCCAAAGUGCUAGGAUUACAGGCAUGAGCACUGCUCCCAGCUCUGUUUUUGUUUUUUUAAGGAGGUAUAUUUUUUCUGUUCUCUCUCAGCCCUGAAGAAAGGCUACCCAUCCCCUUCAGACAUUCCUGAAAAUAUAUGUCAUCCAACAUCAAGGCCACCACAGUGACCACUAAGCAAUGCAAGAAGGUCCUCUGGGGUGCCCUGAGAUCUUGGCAGGGCAGGAAGAGUGAGAAGGGGCUUUGCCUGCUCACCUGAAAGUUCCCACCCAAGCCGGGCCCAGAAAACAAAAUGAAUUAUCUACAUGGUCAUCCAAUCAGCCACCAAAUGGCAUUACCUAGGUCCAUCAUCAUGUACCAAGCCACAGGUCAGACCCAGGGCCCCCCAAAUUAACAAGACACAGGCACUGUCCUCAGGAAGUGGAGAUCUAGCCAGGUCAGACCCACACACAAAUAACACUGAUACUAGAGAUAAUGAGAUUGGGAAUUAUGAUUCAGCCAUUCAACCUGGGCUUAUGUGGCAUCUACACCACCUGGCCCUGAUUUCAGUAGUGAGCACAGUUGACAGGGUCCCUUCCCUUCACAGGUGAGCCAUGUAGUCCACAAGUGGAGGUGGUCGUAAGUGAAAACCACAUUACCAGCAUGGUAAAGGGUUAGAAAGAGGGCACCGGGUGGGCGAGAACAUGAAGCAGGGGGUGCUGAUGGCUAAAGAAGUAAAGGAGGGGCUGGGCACUGUGGUUCAUGCCUAUAAUCCCAGCACUUUGGGAGACCAAGGCGGGUGGAUCACCUGAGGUCAGGAGUUCUAGACCAGCCUGGGCAACGUGGUGAAACCCUGUCUCUACUAAAAAUACAAAAAUUAGCCAGGCAUGGUGGUGCACGCCUGUAGUCCCAGCUACUUGGGAGGCUGGGGCAUGAGAAUUGCUUUAACCCGGAAGGUGGAGUUUGCAGUGAGCCGAGAUCGUGUCACUGCACUCCAGCCUGGGCGACAGAGGGAGACUCUGUCUCAAAAAAAAAAAAAAGUCAAGGAGGGUUUCCCAGAGUGGCCACUUGAUUAGAGACCUAGCACAGGAGGAAGAGAUGGGCAGGGAGAGUGACGGGGAGCAGCACAGUCCCUGGGAGCCCGAAGUGGGUGGGCACAGGGCUCCCUAGGAGAAUGGAAGGACAUCUAUGAGCUGUAGCCCAAGAGGAAGAGGUCACUGGGGCUAGAUGCGGCAGACCCUCGCAGGCUUUGGGAAGGGCUUCAGAAUUCAGCCUGAGGGCAAUGGGGAGCCCUUUUGGGAUAUUAAACUUGAGUAAGAUAUGAGCAUAUUUGCAUCUUGAAAAAUCAUUAUGGGAAGAUGGCUGGGAAGAGAGGAGGAGUGGCAGAAGAAAGAUAGGUUGGAGACAAUUGAUUGCUCGAUGAUAUAAAAUGUUAAGUACCAUGAAUGAUGCUGUUAGGCUGGAAUGCGCCAAGCAUAAAGGUGGGGCAUGGCAUCAAAAGGUAGGUCAACAUAUUAAAUAAUUCCAUGUAUUGAAAUAUCCAGAAAAUAUAUAGACAGAUCUAUAGAGAUAGAAACUGGUCUGCCCAGGACUAGGGGUUGUCUAAGGAUAAGGAGCUUCUUUUUUGGAUGGUGAAAUAACCUAAAAUAUAUUGUGCCAUUGUUUGCACAACUUUGUGAAUAUAUUAAAAACCUGUUAAUUGUACUCACUAAA